AUGCCGAGUCCCUUCGACGGCGCCGCGAGGAGGGUGGCGGCGGUGGCGGCGCUGCUGCUGCUGCUGGCCGUGUCCGCGGCGGACGCGGCGGCCAGCAGCACGGUGGUCGCCGGCAUGGUGUUCUGCGACCAGUGCAAGGACGGCGCCCGCGGCCUCUUCGACUACCCGCUCUACGGGGCGCGGGUGGCGAUCCAGUGCGGCGGCGGCGACACCCCGAUCACGGUGCGGGAGUGCAACACCAACUGGUUCGGCGGCUUCUCCGUGCGCAUGGAGGGGUCGCCGGACAUGAACCGCUGCACGGCGCGCGUCGUCCACGCCACCGGCCACUGCUCCGCCGCCGCCGCCAACGCCGACCCGCGCGAGCUCACGCUCGCCUUCCGCAUGCUCGGCCUCGCCCUCUACACCGUCCUGCCGCUGCUAUCUCAGCCGGAGCAGCCCAUGGACUUCUGCCCCCGCGCCGGCCCCGUGCCCCCGCAUGACCCCGCGGCCGCGGCAGCUACGCCAUCGCCGCCCCUGACGGUGGCGCCGGGCCCGGCUUCUUCCCCGGUGCCGAUCUUCUGGCGCCGCAGGCCGCGGUUGCUGCCUCCCGUCUGGCGCCGCCCGCCGACGGUGCCGCAGCAGCCAGAGACGGAGCCGCUCCCCUCGCCGCCCGCGCCUUCCUCAACCGAAACGCCGGCCGAGGGCUCAAGCUCCGGCUCCGCGUGCGCGUACGACCAGUGGACGUUGCCGGAGCACCGGUGCCACUGGAAGGUAGUGACGCCCAACACGACGGUGGCCAUGGCGUUCGGCCCGCUGGCGGCGCAGCGGUACGGCCCGGACAUGACGCUGCGGGAGGCGCUCGACGGCCGCGGUGACCCCUACCGCACGCUGCUCCGGGAGGCCACGGCGGCGCUGCUGAACGCCUACUACAACGCUCCGGGGUCGCCCUUCCUCUACCCGACCACCGCCAGCGUCCUCGACCACCUCAACGGCGCGCUCCUCAGCUCCGCCCAGCGCGUGCUCAUCGAGGGCGCCCGCUUCCGCCGCGCCAACACCGGCGGCGGCGGGCCCGCCGGCCGGACCAAGCUGCCAUGCGACUUCACCCCGUGCGCCGCCACCAACGCCACCACCACAGGCUGA
rnacentral:rRNA from 1 species